GCAGAGCCCCCGUGAUGCUUAUCCUGCAAACCGGCUGCAGCUGCAUCCUCACCUGCACCACCCCAUGAGCCACGGCUGCAGCUCGUCCCUGACAGAGCAUAUUUCAUGGCUUCACCCACAGGAGAGCUUGAGUGCUCCUAGGAUUCCUGCUGUGUGGAUUCAGAGGGAGAUCAGCUGGGAAGCGGGGAGAGGUGACAUCGUGGCUCUGAACCCUCUUCAGCAUUCUGCUCUAAUGUUCUGACAAGGCAGAAAAUUCAAUUAGUCUCGAGCAAAUGCCUUCCUAAAGGACACAGAAAACGAAAAUAAAGAGCAGAAAUCUGCUUUCAUCCUGUACAGAAAGAGGCUUUUUGGGGGAAAUACAGAUUAGGGAGAUAAAGAGGUGGAAGGAGCCUGGGUCCCCUAGAGGAUCACGUCCCACGGCUGCACCACGGCUGCCCUCCUCUCCCAGCUCUGGUGUGGGCAUUCCAACUUCCCCACCCUGGGAUGUGAACCAUCUCCCCCUCUGUGGCAGAUUCUGACAGCACCCAGCGUGUCCCUAAGCCCAGGGGACACUUUGCUGCCCGCACUCUGCACCGGCCCCAGCGAUGGCACAGCAAUGAAUCACCGUCUGGUGCUGACAGCAUCCCUCUCCAUACCACACCUGCCACGCUUUGGUUCGCCCUUCCCCUGAACAAGUUUUUCCCCUUCCCUUUGAGAGUGGUUCUUUUCAGCUGCCCAUGAAAGGGCCCUGUUCCCGGUGAUGGAUUGCACCUGAUUUCAAUAUCAAUGAGGGCGUGCUCUGCUCCUGCAGCCCCUAGCAGCUUGUUUAGCCCGGGUUUGUUAACAGGGUUGCCCUCUUCUUUUCCCUCACCGUUUCCUCCCUCUCUGCACCGAGGGCAAAAGCUGUGGCUGAUCUCAUCCUCGGGAAGGAGUUCUCCUGUUGUGGGCUGGACUGUGCAGGUGAUGGGUUUGGGACGCUCAGGGGCACUGAGGUUGGGUUUAUUGAGGACUGUGGGAUGGGGAAGGGUGGUGGGUGCGGGGUCUCCAUGAGCAGCCCCAGGAGGUGGUGUUGCCAUGGUUCCUCCUCGCUCAUUAAA
rnacentral:lncRNA from 7 species